rnacentral:rRNA from 1 species
UUGGAGGGCAAGUCUGGUGCCAGCAGCCGCGGUAAUUCCAGCUCCAAUAGCGUAUAUUAAAGUUGUUGCAGUUAAAAAGCUCGUAGUUGAAUUUCGGGAUUUGUCAGUUGGUCGGGCUUCACUGUCCGUAUUGACUUGAUGGAUUCUUACCUUCUGAAUAACCAGCAUGCUAUUAAUUUAGUGCGUUGGGGAAGCAGAUCUAUUACCUUGAAAAAAUUAGAGUGCUUAAAGCGAGCUAGUGCUUGAAUAGAUUAGCAUGGAAUAAUAAAAUAGGACGGCAUGGUUCUAUUUUGUUGGUUUCUAGGAUCACCGUAAUGAUUAAUAGGGAUAGUUGGGGGCAUUAGUAUUCAAUUGUCAGAGGUGAAAUUCUUGGAUUUAUUGAAGACUAACUUCUGCGAAAGCAUUUGCCAAGGAUGUUUUCAUUAAUCAAGAACGAAAGUUAGGGGAUCGAAGACGAUCAGAUACCGUCGUAGUCUUAACCAUAAACUAUGCCGACUAGGGAUCGGACGAUGUAA